AUUGAACGCUGGCGGCAGGCCUAACACAUGCAAGUCGAGCGGAGCGGCGGACGGGUGAGUAAUGCCUAGGAAUCUGCCUGGUAGUGGGGGAUAAAGUCCGGAAACGGGCGCUAAUACCGCAUACUAUCAGAUGAGCCUAGGUCGGAUUAGCGAGUUGGUGGGGUAAAGGCCUACCAAGGCGACGAUCCGUAACUGGUCUGCGAGGAUGAUCAGUCCCACUGGAACUGAGACACGGUCCAGACUCCCACGGGAGGCAGCAGUGGGGAAUAUUGGACAAUUGGCGAAAGCCUGAUCCAGCCAUGCCGCGUGUGUUAAGAAGGUCUUCGGAUUUUAAAGCACUUUAAGUUGUGAGGCGUUACCAACAGAAUAAGCACCGGCUAACUGCGUGCCAGCAGCCGCGGUAAUUC
rnacentral:rRNA from 1 species